rnacentral:rRNA from 1 species
GACGAACGCUGGCGGCAUGCCUAAUACAUGCAAAUCGAGCGAACAGAUGAAGUGCUUGCACUUCUGACGUUAGCGGCGAACGGGUGAGUAACACGUAAGGAAUCUACCUAUAAGCGGGGGAUAACAUUCGGAAACGGGUGCUAAUACCGCAUAAUAUCUUCUUCCGCAUGGAAGAAGAUUGAAAGACGGCUCUGCUGUCUCUUAUAGAUGACCUUGCGGUGCGUUAGUUAGUUGGUGGGGUAACGGCUUAUCAAGACGAGGAUGCAUAGCCGACCUGAGAGGGUGAUCGGCCACAUUGGGACUGAGACACGGCCCAAACGCCUACGGGAGGCAGCAGUAGGGAAUCUUCCGCAAUGGGCGAAAGCCUGACGGAGCAAUGCCGCGUGAGUGAAGAAGGCCUUCGGGUCGUAAAACUCUGUUAUAAGAGAAGAACAAAUUGUAGAGUAACUGCUACAGUCUUGACGGUAUCUUAUCAGAAAGCCACGGCUAACUACGUGCCAGCCGCCGCUGUAA